AAGGAUUUAAGUUAAUAAAACUUUUAACCUUCAAAGUUAACAUUAGAUACUUUUCUAAGCCUUA
rnacentral:tRNA from 1 species